rnacentral:rRNA from 1 species
GACGUAGGGCGCGAGCGUUGUCCGGAUUUAUUGGGCGUAAAGAGCUCGUAGGCGGCUUGUUGCGUCGACUGUGAAAACCCGGGGCUCAACCCCGGGCCUGCAGCCGAUACGGGCAGACUAGAGUUCGGCAGGGGAGACUGGAAUUCCUGGUGUAGCGGUGAAAUGCGCAGAUAUCAGGAGGAACACCGGUGGCGAAGGCGGGUCUCUGGGCCGAUACUGACGCUGAGGAGCGAAAGCGUGGGGAGCGAACGGG